rnacentral:misc_RNA from 1 species
GAUGAAGAACGUAGUGAAAUGCGAUAAGUAGUGUGAAUUGCAGAAUUCAGUGAAUCAUCGAAUCUUUGAACGCACAUUGCGCCCUUUGGUAUUCCAAAGGGCAUGCCUGUUCGAGCGUCAUUUGUACCCUCAAGCUUUGCUUGGUGUUGGGCGUCUUGUCUCUAGCUUUGCUGGAGACUCGCCUUAAAGUAAUUGGCAGCUGGCCUACUGGUUUCGGAGCGCAGCACAAGUCGCACUCUCUAUCAGCAAAGGUCUAGCAUCCAUUAAGCCUUUUUUUCAACUUUUGACCUCGGAUCAGGUAGGGAUACCCGCUGAACUUAAGCAUAUCAAUAAGCGGAGGA